UUGUAUUGGUAAAUGGGAUCAAGCGGAGUGGGAUCUAAAAUAUAAACAGUUCUUGUAUCUUGGUCCAAUAUGACCAGAUUGAAGGCACCAUUGGAUUCUAGUAUUGGUAUAAGAAUCUGCAAAAGGUUAGUUGUUAGAACAGCAAGAACAAUGGUGCUUACAGGAGCAUAAGAAUCUGGAAAAAGGCUUUGACAUAGGAAGUGAUCUUACCAAUUUGCAACUUGAAACAUUAUAGUUAAUACCAGGCCAGCUAUGAAAAGCUCUUGCUAAUUGUUCCACAUCUAACUUCUUACAGAAGUUGGGGUGUCAUCCAAAAUCAGUAUUCAUCCAGGAUAUAUUAAACAAGAUUUUAGAAACCUGAGCAAAAGAUAAUGAACACAUAUAUAUUAUGAGAAGAACAUACCCAAAAUUGUAUGUCUAGAUAAUGCUUUGAUAUC
rnacentral:lncRNA from 1 species